CCUACGGGAGGCAGCAGUGAGGAAUAUUGGUCAAUGGACGAGAGUCUGAACCAGCCAAGUAGCGUGAAGGAUGACUGCCCUAUGGGUUGUAAACUUCUGUUAUAUGGGAAUAAAACAGGGUAGGCAUACCCUCUUGUAUGUACCAUAUGAAUAAGGAUCGGCUAACUCCGUGCCAGCAGCCGCGGUAAUACGGAGGAUGCGAGCGUGAUACGGAUUUAUUGGGGGUAAAGGGGGCGCAGGCGGAAGAUCAAGUCAGCGGUAAAAUUGAGAGGCUCAACCUCUUCGAGCCGUUGAAACUGGUUUUCUUGAGUGAGCGAGUCGUCUGCGGAAUGCGUGGUGUAGCGGU
rnacentral:rRNA from 1 species